CUUCCCUCGCUCUUCUCCAUGCCUUGGCCUCACUGUUCCCUUGGGUUUUCUGCUUGCCUUUGCUUCACUGGGAUUGGCAGAGAGGCAGCAUUCAUGGUGAUCUGCACCUCAACCCUAAGCUUAAUGGGAGCUCCAGAGGAAUAGACAAACGCUGUCGUCAUGGUUCCAGCCCCACGCUCUCCUAGUGCCGACUGCGCUGGCGACUCGGAGUGCAGCUCUGAAGAUGCACCGAGACCCUGCAGAUCCAGACCCUACUCGGACACCGUAGCGCUGCCGCCCCCUCCCCCGUCUCUCCCGUUUCUCUGGCCCCGUUUCCAAUCUAGUUGUGCCGUUGCAGGACUGGACGGCUGAAAGAAGGUAGGCCCUCGGAGCGCCGCACGCCGGGACCGGCACGGAGCGGCUCUGGGACGGGUGCGCUCGAGCCCGUGGAUCGUGCCCACAGCUGCACUCAGUGGCAGCGGAGAACUGCGGUGCUCCUGUUUGGUGCCGGAACUGCACGGAGAUCUGUGGCUCUCCAUGAAGUCAGCGUGAAACGG